AAAGGAGGUAACAGAAUCGACAAAUUGCACCUUGCCUACAUUUAUAAUGGGAUUGUAUUAACCGUUGGUUAAUAGAAAGCCUAUCCAUUUAUUAGAGGUAGAGCUAAGCACUCCUAGACAGGACAAUUCGACAGUUAAUCAAUAUUUUGAAUCAAAGUUGAAGUCAUGAAAGAUCACGCUUAAACGAGACCAUGUACAUAGUUGUAACUGCUUUUGAGAAAAAAAUACCACCAAAGCGGUUCGUCAGCUGUUUUUGUUUACAUUUUGCGAUUGGUUCAUUAUAAAACGCGGUUUAUGCUCGAUUGCGUUUGGAAUGAAAGGAAAAAUAUGAUUGGAAGUUAUUAUAGAAUGAAGUGUGGAUGUGAAAAUAAGUUUUGUGAAAUGAUUUUUUUAUUUUAUGUCGCAAAAUGGGCACCACUUGCUCAUACUGGACUUUAACAUAAGCCAAAUAAAGCCGAAAUGGCAGACGACGAGGCAAGGAAAACAAUUACGACAGAGAUUCACCGUGAUUCCGAAGGUGAUGCAGAUGACAGGGAUACUUCUUACACGCCGCAGAACGCGCUCAACUCAUUAUGAGUGAUGAGGCGCAUUUAACUCUCAGCGGAGAGGAUGACGAAGGCGGUAUCCUGUGAAUGGAAUCGAUAUCGAUCGCGGAAUAUUGGGUAAUUAUUGGUCAAAACGGGCCUUCGACUGGCCUUCUCACUCGCCCGAUUUGACCUCAAACACUUGACUAUCUGAAUGCCAACUGAAAAUGUUAUGAAAAACGUAGAAGAGAGCUUAAAUAUGCGUUGUUGGUAAUGGUGACCACCAUAAAAUGUACAUUAUCAAUCUCUUUCGCUCUCACUGGCCGCGUACGAGAGUACCUACAUCGCAAAAUUCCUAAUUUUGGCAUCAUCUGGCAAGGGUUAAGUCCAUCGAAAAUGUCUGCAAUAGUCCCGCUCCAUGCUGCCAGACGAUUGUUUUCGGCCGCUGGAAAUAAAAGUGGAUUGCAUAAAAAACCCAAUGACACUUGUUAAUCUCCAUCCACCUUAUGUGCGUGUGGCCAUAUUCAGAAUGCUGCUCCCAUCAUCGAAAUAAGAAAGCAGAUAUCGACCUACAACAUCGUUAUAGAGGCGUAACUACCUAUUCGACUGUUAGUAAAACUGAUACACGUCGCAAAUCGAGAGCAAAAACGAAAGUUGAUGUUAUCAUUCCCAACUGAGAAAUCAAGCUUUGCGCGUAAACUGCGCUUAAUUAAGCUUCACUAGGAUUUAUCAACAACGUUUCCAUGAGUAAUGCUGGCGAUGAGUCUCCCCGGAUUGCGCAUAGUAAUAACACUACCAACGAUGACGUAUCUAACUUAAGUAGGAAAAGCGUGAAAACAGGGAAACAAUUAGUGUUAGAAAAUAUAAUGACUUUGGAACUCAAUAGUGGAAAUGUCUUUCGAAACGAAGAAGAGUUUUAGUCACAUAGCAUUUUUAUUAUACAUUAUUUUUUCAAUUUAAUAUUGAAAAUAUGUACAAUAUAUUAAUUUGUGUAAGGAUAUUUAAAGAUUUCCGCUUAUUUUACAAAAGAACCAUAUUUGAUAUACGAGUAAAAGGGCAUAUGUAUAAAGACUAUCAGAAAAUUGGUAACGCUAACCAAAAAUAAAAAAAAUAGUAGCCUAUAAGAAUAGAUGUACUGUUUCAAUAACCGGAAAAAAUCCAAAUUUUUUUUAUAAACGUCUCAGCGUAAGCUUUCAUUUGUCUAUUGACUGAUUACUUUAACAUGCAGACCAAGGCAGUUGAAGUAUGUGAGUCUCUUUGUUAAAUGCAAAGUUUUUCAUAAUUGUCAAAUUCAGGACAAAAUAAUUUCCAUU